UACGUAGGGGGCAAGCGUUGUCCGGAUUCAUUGGGCGUAAAGAGCGUGUAGGCGGCCAGGAGGGUCGGUUGUGAAAACUGGAGGCUCAACCUUCAGAGGUCGACCGAAACCAUCUGGCUAGAGUCCGGGAGAGGAGAGUGGAAUUCCUGGUGUAGCGGUGAAAUGCGCAGAUAUCAGGAAGAACACCCGUGGCGAAAGCGGCUCUCUGGAACGGUACUGACGCUGAGACGCGAAAGCGUGGGGAGCGAACAGG
rnacentral:rRNA from 1 species